AGAGGAGUGGUAGAGCGGUUUAUUGCACCGGUCUUGAAAACCGGAGACGUGAAAGCGUCCGGGGGUUCGAAUCCCUCCCUCCUCCUCUG
rnacentral:tRNA from 1 species